rnacentral:rRNA from 1 species
CAAUAGCGUAUAUUAAAGUUGUUGCAGUUAAAAAGCUCGUAGUUGGAUUUCGGGGUGGCCUGGCUGGUCCGCCGCAAGGUGAGUACUGGUCAGCCGCCCUUCCUCUCGAAAGCCCCGACUGCUCUUUACUGCAGUGGUCGGGUAGUUCGGGACGUUUACUUUGAAAAAAUUAGAGUGUUCAAGGCAGGCUAUCGCCUGAAUACAUUAGCAUGGAAUAAUGGAAGAGGACCACGGUCCUAUUUUGUUGGUUUCUAGGGCCGAAGUAAUGAUUAAGAGGGACAGUUGGGGGCAUUCGUAUUUAAUUGUCAGAGGUGAAAUUCUUGGAUUUAUGAAAGGCGAACUAGUGCGAAAGCAUUUGCCAAGGAUGUUUUCAUUAA